rnacentral:rRNA from 1 species
UGGGGAAUUUUGCGCAAUGGGGGAAACCCUGACGCAGCAACGCCGCGUGGAGGAUGAAAUCCCUUGGGAUGUAAACUCCUUUCGAUCGGGACGAUUAUGACGGUACCGGAAGAAGAAGCCCCGGCUAACUUCGUGCCAGCAGCCGCGGUAAUACGAGGGGGGCAAGCGUUGUUCGGAAUUAUUGGGCGUAAAGGGCGCGUAGGCGGUUUGACAAGUCUGAUGUGAAAUCUCUGGGCUCAACCCAGAGUCUGCAUUAGAAACUGUCGGGCUUGAGUAUGGGAGAGGUGAGUGGAAUUUCCGGUGUAGCGGUGAAAUGCGUAGAUAUCGGAAGGAACACCUGUGGCGAAAGCGGCUCACUGGACCAUAACUGACGCUGAGGCGCGAAAGCUAGGGGAGCAAACA